GAUAAACGUUGGCGGUGUGCCUUAUGCAUGCAAGUCGUACGAGGCUAUGAUUUUCGGAUUGUAACCGAGUGGCGGACGGCUGAGUAACGCGUAAGCAACCUACCUGUGAGUGGGGGAUAACCUGUCGAAAGGCAGGCUAAUACCGCAAGGAUAAGCGAGUGAUGCUUGUUUAUUAAAGCCUCAGGGUGCUUGCAGAGGGGCUUGCGUCUGAUUAGCUAGUUGGCAGGGUAAUGGCCUACCAAGGCGGUGAUCAGUAGCUGGCCUGAGAGGGGGUCCAGCCAGAUGGGGACUGAGACACGGCCCCAACUCCUACGGGAGGCAGCAGCAAGGAAUAUUGGGCAAUGGGCGAAAGCCUGACCCAGCGACACCGCGUGAGGGAGGAAGGCCUUCGGGUUGUAAACCUCUUUUCUCGAGGAAGAAUUCUGACGGUACUCGAGGAAUAAGUCUUGGCUAACUACGUGCCAGCAGCCGCGGUAAUACGUAGAAGGCGAACGUUAUCCGGAUUUACUGGGCGUAAAGAGAGCGUAGGCGGCUCUUCAAGUCAGGCGUGAAAUCUUCUGACUCAAUCGGAAGGCGCCACUUGAUACUAGAGGGCUUGAGGGCAGCAGAAGGAAACGGAAUUCCCAGUGUAGCGGUGAAAUGCGUUGAUAUUGGGAAGAACACCAGUGGCGAAGGCGAUUUCCUAGGUUGUUUCUGACGCUGAGGCUCGAAAGCGUGGGGAGCGAAGCGGAUUAGAUACCCGCGUAGUCCACGCCUUAAACGGUGGACACUAGAUAUGGGAAGUAUCGACCCUUUUCGUGUCGAAGCUAACGCUUUAAGUGUCCCGCCUGGGGAGACGGCCGCAAGGCU
rnacentral:rRNA from 1 species